rnacentral:lncRNA from 1 species
UCCAAAUGUCAACAAUAGUUUAGCUGCAUCGGUGUGUCCAACAGUGGCUGUUAGUAACAAUGGUGGUGUUCUAUUGGAAUUUCCUUUAUUAAUGUCUGCAUUGUUUCUAAUCAAUAGCUCCAUUGCAUUACAGUUACACGAGCAAGCAGCUGCAAGAAUAGGUAGCAGCUUUAAACUGUCUGGUUUGUUUACUUCUGCACCAAUUUUCAACAAUUCUUCAAUGCUAGCCAAGUCUCCGCGUAAACAUGCAGCUGUUAAAGGAGUCUUGCAUCUGUGGGGAUUUCUUUUCUUUUCUGACCAAUUGGCACUCGUUGGCAACAUUGCUCUAUUGAUACAAUUGGAGUUAACAUAUUUCUUUAUCAGUCUUAACAUAUCAAAAUUACCUCCGAAGCAUGCAAGUAUUAAAAGCCUAGUUUGUUCUGCUUCGGUUGUACCGAAAAUAAGGUCGGUAGAUUCAUUUUUGGACAAAACCAUGUCAAUU